rnacentral:rRNA from 1 species
UACGAAGGGGGCUAGCGUUGCUCGGAAUCACUGGGCGUAAAGCGCACGUAGGCGGAUUGUUAAGUCAGGGGUGAAAUCCUGGAGCUCAACUCCAGAACUGCCUUUGAUACUGGCGAUCUUGAGUCCGGGAGAGGUGAGUGGAACUCCGAGUGUAGAGGUGAAAUUCGUAGAUAUUCGCAAGAACACCAGUGGCGAAGGCGGCUCACUGGCCCGGAACUGACGCUGAGAUGCGAAAGCGUGGGGAGCAAACAGG